rnacentral:rRNA from 1 species
AUACGUAGGUGGCAAGCGUUGUCCGGAUUAUUGGGCGUAAAGCGAGUGCAGGCGGUCUUUUAAGUCUGAUGUGAAAGCCUUCGGCUUAACCGAAGAAGGGCAUCGGAAACUGGGAGACUUGAGUGCAGAAGAGGAGAGUGGAACUCCAUGUAUAGCGGUGAAAUGCGUAGAUAUAUGGAAGAACACCAGUGGCGAAGGCGGCUCUCUGGUCUGUAACUGACGCUGAGGCUCGAAAGCGUGGGUAGGC